rnacentral:rRNA from 1 species
GAUGAACGCUGGCGGCGUGCCUAAUACAUGCAAGUCGAGCGAACGGACGAGAAGCUUGCUUCUCUGAUGUUAGCGGCGGACGGGUGAGUAACACGUGGAUAACCUACCUAUAAGACUGGGAUAACUUCGGGAAACCGGAGCUAAUACCGGAUAAUAUUUUGAACCGCAUGGUUCAAAAGUGAAAGACGGUCUUGCUGUCACUUAUAGAUGGAUCCGCGCUGCAUUAGCUAGUUGGUAAGGUAACGGCUUACCAAGGCAACGAUGCAUAGCCGACCUGAGAGGGUGAGCGGCCACACUGGAACUGAGACACGGUCCAAGCUCCUACGGGAGGCAGCAGUAGGGAAUCUUCCGCAAUGGGCGAAUGCCUGACGGAGCAACGCCGCGUGGGUGAUGAAGAUCUUCGGAUCGUAAGACUCUGUGAUUAGGGAAGAACAUAUGUGUAAGUAACUGUGCACAUCUUGACGUUACCUAAUCAGAGAGCCACGGCUAACUACGUG